rnacentral:rRNA from 1 species
GUAGGUGGCAAGCGUUGUCCGGAAUUAUUGGGCGUAAAGCGCGCGCAGGCGGUUCUUCAAGUCUGAUGUGAAAGCCCACGGCUCAACCGUGGAGGGUCAUUGGAAACUGGAGAACUUGAGUACAGAAGAGGAAAGCGGAAUUCCACGUGUAGCGGUGAAAUGCGUAGAGAUGUGGAGGAACACCAGUGGCGAAGGCGGCUUUCUGGUCUGUAACUGACGCUGAGGCGCGAAAGCGUGGGGGGAGCAAACAGGAUUAGAUACCCUGGUAGUCCACGCCGUAAACGAUGAGUGUUAAGUGUUAGGGGGUUUCGCCCCUUAGUGCUGCAGCUAACGCAUUAAGCACUCCGCCUGGGAGUACGGCCGCAAGGCUG